rnacentral:rRNA from 1 species
AUACGUAGGUGGCAAGCGUUGUCCGGAUUUAGUUGGGCGUAAAGCGAGCGCAGGCGGUUCUUUAAGUCUGAUGUGAAAGCCCUCGGCUUAACCGAGGAACUGGCAUCGGAAACUGUUUUUCUUGAGUGCAGAAGAGGAGAGUGGAACUCCAUGUGUAGCGGUGGAAUGCGUAGAUAUAUGGAAGAACACCAGUGGCGAAGGCGGCUCUCUGGUCUGCAACUGACGCUGAGGCUCGAAAGCAUGGGUAGC